rnacentral:Y_RNA from 1 species
UGCUGGUCCAAAGGUAGUGAGUUAUUGCAGUUGAUUGUUAUAGUUCAAACUCCUUGUUACUACUGUUUCCCCUUUUCUCACUGCUGCACUUGAUUAUGAUUAG